rnacentral:rRNA from 1 species
CCUACGUGCGGCAGCAGUGAGGAAUAUUGGUCAAUGGGCGCGAGCCUGAACCAUCCAAGUAGCGUGAAGGAUGACUGCCCUACGGGUUGUAAACUUCUUUUAUAAAGGAAUAAAGUGAGGCACGUGUGCCUUUUUGUAUGUACUUUAUGAAUAAGGAUCGGCUAACUCCGUGCCAGCAGCCGCGGUAAUACGGAGGAUCCGAGCGUUAUCCGGAUUUAUUGGGUUUAAAGGGAGCGUAGAUGGGUUGUUAAGUCAGUUGUGAAAGUUUGCGGCUCAACCGUAAAAUUGCAAUUGAUACUGGCAGUCUUGAGUACAGUUGAGGUAGGCGGAAUUCGUGGUGUAGCGGUGAAAUGCUUAGAUAUCACGAAGAACUCCGAUUGCGAAGGCAGCUUACUAAACUGCCACUGACAUUGAUGCUCGAAAGUGUGGGUAUCAAACAGGAUUAGAUACCCCAGUAGUC